rnacentral:rRNA from 1 species
GGGUUGUGAGGUUAAGCGACUAAGCGUACACGGUGGAUGCCCUGGCAGUCAGAGGCGAUGAAGGACGUGCUAAUCUGCGAUAAGCGUCGGUAAGGUGAUAUGAACCGUUAUAACCGGCGAUUUCCGAAUGGGGAAACCCAGUGUGAUUCGUCACACUAUCAUUAACUGAAUCCAUAGGUUAAUGAGGCGAACCGGGGGAACUGAAACAUCUAAGUACCCCGAGGAAAAGAAAUCAACCGAGAUUCCCCCAGUAGCGGCGAGCGAACGGGGAGGAGCCCAGAGCCUGAAUCAGUGUGUGUGUUAGUGGAAGCGUCUGGAAAGGCGCGCGAUACAGGGUGACAGCCCCGUACACAAAAAUGCACAUAUUGUGAGCUCGAUGAGUAGGGCGGGACACGUGGUAUCCUGUCUGAAUAUGGGGGGACCAUCCUCCAAGGCUAAAUACUCCUGACUGACCGAUAGUGAACCAGUACCGUGAGGGAAAGGCGAAAAGAACCCCGGCGAGGGGAGUGAAAAAGAACCUGAAACCGUGUACGUACAAGCAGUGGGAGCACGCUU